UACGGAGGGUGCAAGCGUUGUCCGGAAUCACUGGGCGUAAAGGGCGCGUAGGCGGCUCAUGAAGGCUGUGGUGAAAGUCCGGGGCUCAACCUCGGAUCGGCCGUGGCGACUCGUGGGCUGGAGCACUGUAGAGGCGGGUGGAAUUCCGGGUGUAGCGGUGGAAUGCGUAGAGAUCCGGAAGAACACCGGUGGCGAAGGCGGCCUGCUGGGCAGUUGCUGACACUGAGGCGCGACACGUGGGGAGCAAACAGG
rnacentral:rRNA from 1 species